CCUACGGGAGGCAGCAGUGGGGAAUAUUGGACAAUGGGCGAAAGCCUGAUCCAGCAAUGCCGCGUGAGUGAAGAAGGCCUUCGGGUUGUAAAGCUCUUUUACCCGGGAAGAUAAUGACUGUACCGGGAGAAUAAGCUCCGGCUAACUCCGUGCCAGCAGCCGCGGUAAUACGGAGGGAGCUAGCGUUGUUCGGAAUUACUGGGCGUAAAGCGUACGUAGGCGGCUUGGUAAGUCAGAGGUGAAAGCCCACGACUCAAUCGUGGAACUGCCUUUGAGACUGCUUCGCUUGAAGAUGGGAGAGGUUAGUGGAAUUCCGAGUGUAGAGGUGAAAUUCGUAGAUAUUCGGAAGAACACCAGUGGCGAAGGCGGCUAACUGGACCAUUCUUGACGCUGAGGUACGAAAGCGUGGGGAGCAAACAGGAUUAGAUACCCUGGUAGUCCACGCCGUAAACGAUGAUAACUAGCUGUCGGGGCUCUUGGAGCUUCGGUGGCGCAGCUACGCAUUAAGUUAUCCGUCCGUCGGGUAGGUACGGCCGCGAACGGUUAAACGUACGAAGAAGUUAGACGGCGUGAGACGUGCCGACGGACGACGACGAGGGAGGUAGG
rnacentral:rRNA from 1 species